rnacentral:rRNA from 1 species
UACGUAGGGGGCAAGCGUUGUCCGGAAUUACUGGGCGUAAAGCGCACGUAGGCGGCUUUGUAAGUCAGAGGUGAAAGCCUGGAGCUCAACUCCAGAACUGCCUUUGAGACUGCAUCGCUUGAAUCCAGGAGAGGUGAGUGGAAUUCCGAGUGUAGAGGUGAAAUUCGUAGAUAUUCGGAAGAACACCAGUGGCGAAGGCGGCUCACUGGACUGGUAUUGACGCUGAGGUGCGAAAGCGUGGGGAGCAAACAGG